AAGCCUGAAAAAGAAUCAGGCCAGGCAAACUCUUUUCUGGCAGAAAAUAUGGCCAGAGAACAGAAAGAGAUGAGUUUGCCUUGCACUCACCUGAGCUGACUGCAGAAAGAAUCAGGCUUUAAUGUUCAAAGAAGUGGAAAACCAGCACUAUGCUACGCUGAAUAAACCUGAAGGGGCAGUAUCUCACUGUUGAGGAAAAACUGAGAACACCAUGACAUUUCAACAUUUUGUUGACAAUAAAAGAUUCACAGAAUAACUGACAUUUUACACAGUCUAAUUGAUAAUUGGUUAUUUAAAAAACAAACAAACAAGCAAACAACAAGAAAAUGAGAGAGAGGAGCUAUCAUUUCCUAGUUAAACAGGGUGGUGGGCCCUGAGGCCUUCUCCCACUGCUGUCCCUGUACAGGCCAGCUUUAAGCAGUAGGCCGGGAUUUCCAGGCCUUCUUCCGCACCAGGAACGUUGCUUCAUGACAUUAAAUUAAAAUUAAAAAAUAAAAAUAUACA